rnacentral:rRNA from 1 species
UAGUCAUAUGCUUGUCUCAAAGAUUAAGCCAUGCAUGUGUAAGAUCGGUAUAGUCUAGCUUCGGCUAGAACAUUACUAAUCUGCGGAAAGCUCAUUAAACAAGUUAUGAAUUUAGCCACCUGGUUAACUAAGGAAUAACACUGUCAACUGCAGCGCUAAUGCCUAGAAAAUCGGUUAACGCCGAGAACAUUAGGGUCUGGGUGAAUCCGCCCUACUUCGGGACUUUGUCCCUGUUGACCACAGAGUCUGAGAGUUGUAGAUUCGUGUCGUAAGGCUUGUUUCAAAAGCUUUAUUUGUGGCCGGGAAGAUAUGUUUCUAAUCUAUCAGCCUGGAGAUUGGGUAAGGUCCAAUCUUGGCUUUUACGGAUACAGGGGAUUGGUGUUCAAAUCUGGAGAGAGAGCCUGAGAAACGGCUAUCACAUCUAAGGACGGCAGCAGGCGCGUAAAUUACCCAAUUUUAAUUCAAAGAGGUAGUGACAAGACGUAGCGACUUUACACCAAUUGGUGGAAAGGUACCACUCUGUGGUUUGAAAUGGAUGGAAAUUAAAAUUCUCUAUGAGUAGCAAUUA